GUAAACCUCAAACGUCACAAGGUCAGGAUGAGAAAGUAAUUCAAGCCCUUCAACCUACGUGGCAAGAAGUUGUGUCGGUCGCAAACAUCGGAGGGAAAAGUGACCGCUUCGAGGUGUCCUUACAACAACACGAAGGAAGACAUGAAAAGGUGAUGCCAUACAGAUGUCAACAGCCCCGCUGUGCAGCUGGGUCUUUUGGCAAGUACAAUUAUCAAGGUCAUGUACAAACGCACACUAAAAAACGCAGGUAUGAAUGUCCUACGUGUAAGGGUAUGUAUUUCCCUCCCAAAGACUUAAAACGACACCAAAGAAGAGAGAGGAAGGAGCUAAAGUUCAAAUGUGAUGUAUGUAAUUCAGUGUUUGAAGAAUAAAAUCAGCUCGUCGACCAUAUGGGGAUACACACCGGUGGAAUGAAGCACAUCUUUUGUGAAUAUGGAAAAAGUUAAACCGCCACAAGAUGGGACAUAAAUGGUAGAGCUACACCUGUAACACGUGUGGGACGGAACUAUAGACCAAACAAACUGAGUCUUUAGCAGUAUCCAAGUACUGACAGGUUUCGUCAUACUCAGACAUUUUGUACCACUAUUAGGUUAUUUUUCUUCUCUUUUUUGUAGUGCAUUGUACGGAAGCCUGGAGGUGACACAUCUCGUGUACUUGACAACGUACAGAAUAAAAACAAAUAAACUUUAA